rnacentral:rRNA from 1 species
AAAGAUCGAAUCGGGAGAUUCAACGAAAACGGGGCUGGCUUCCGUUUGAUGUGCGAUACCCUGAAUGGUUCCUUCGUGGUUCCAAUGAGAGGGCACACCGUCUUCGGCAAAUGUCCAGUCUCGUAGUUGUGCACUUCUCCCAUUGUAGAACGUCGCGACCCGUUGCGUGUCGGUCUACGGCACGAGUUGUUGCCUGUCGGCGUCGUCUUUGUGCGUACACGGCAGACGCUCGAUCGCCUGGCCGGCUGCGCGACGGUACUCUGACGGUAUCGGGCCGCAACCAAUCCAUUUUUUCGAAUGUGUGUGCGUCGGGCCCGCCGCAAGCUCGUCUAGGUACCCGGAUGGUACGGACCUGGUGCCGGCUCCGGGCCUAGUCAGCUGUUGGCAGGCGGUGUCCUCGGACUGGCCAAGCUUUGAAUUACCGGUCAGCGACGCUACUGCUUUGGGUACUUUCAGGACCCGUCUUGAAACACGGACCAAGGAGUCUAACRUGUGCGCGAGUCAUUGGGACUCGUUUAAACCUAAAGGCAUAAUGAAAGUAAAAGUCGAUCUUUUUUUUAAAAAGUCGACCGAGGGAGGAUGGGCCGCGUCACGAUGCGGCCUCGCACUCCCGGGGCGUCUCGUUCUCAUUGCGAGAAGAG